CAUAGUUCUAGUAAUGAUAUUCAAUUGUUUUGCCGUGUUCAAUGAUAAUAUCAUAUUCUUCUUAAUCUUCCAGGUGAGUCUGCGCUGGUGUUUCGUAAUCAGCAACUGUAAGGAUGUUAUUUGGCGACGAGGCCCCCUGGUCGGCGCUUGCAUGCUCUCUUCUAAGAGUUCGGUGACAAAGAGAAGUUAUUUAAAAAGUGUAAGAACUGGUGGGGACAGAUGGCUUGCUGUGAGACGAAGGGAAGUGUUACUAAUCCGAUAAAAAGCCGG